rnacentral:rRNA from 1 species
UACGAAGGGGGCUAGCGUUGCUCGGAAUCACUGGGCGUAAAGCGCACGUAGGCGGCUUCUCAAGUCAGGGGUGAAAUCCUGGAGCUCAACUCCAGAACUGCCUUUGAUACUGUGGGGCUCGAGUCCGGGAGAGGCGAGUGGAACUGCGAGUGUAGAGGUGAAAUUCGUAGAUAUUCGCAAGAACACCAGUGGCGAAGGCGGCUCACUGGCCCGGUACUGACGCUGAGGUGCGAAAGCGUGGGGAGCAAACAGG